UACAGAGGUCUCAAGCGUUGUUCGGAAUCACUGGGCGUAAAGGGUGUGUAGGCGGUGUGUUAAGUCAGAUGUGCAAGCCCGGGGCUCAACCUCGGAACUGCAUCCGAUACUGGCAUGCUAGAGAAUUGGAGAGGAGUCUAGAAUUCACGGUGUAGCAGUGAAAUGCGUAGAUAUCGUGAGGAAUACCAAGUGCGAAGGCAGGACUCUGGACAUUUUCUGACGCUGAGACACGAAGGCCAGGGGAGCAAACGGG
rnacentral:rRNA from 1 species